GAGGGUCGGCCCCUCGGAGGCGGUGUCCAGACGCCGCCUUCAAACUACCCUGAGCUGCUGCCGUUAAGAGCGGUGGUGGUGAGCGUCAGGGAAAAGGCGCAAUCUAAUGCGUCAUGU
rfam:Xenorhabdus nematophila ATCC 19061 chromosome, complete genome